GCCGCUGGAGGACGACAACCUCCUCUCCGAGAUCCUCCUCCGCCUCCCGCCAGAUCCGUCCUCCCUCCCUCGCGCCUCCCUCGUCUCCAAGCGCUGGCGCAGCCUCAUCUCCGACCACGGCUUCUCCCGCCGCUUCCGCCUCCACCACCGCCGCAACCCUCCUCUCCUCGGGUUCUUCCUCUCUCUCGCCUUCAUACCAACCAUGGAUCCCCCCAAUCGUGUCUCGGAUGGCCGCUUCUGCUUGCCGGUCGACGGCCACAUCCUAACCCUUGGAUGCCGCCAUGGUCUCGUACUCAUGUUCCAGGUGACGCGGCUCCAGGUCCUGGUGUGGGACCCCGUCACCGGCGAACUGCACCGCAUUGUCGCUCCCCCGGGGUUCGAUGCAAAGAAGAUGCGGAUCAAUGGGACGGUGCUUCGCGCGACAUCCAACACUUCCAGGUUGUCUUGGUAGACACAGAGACAAACCAACAACAUACACGGGCAAUCACCUGUGUUUACUCGUCGGAGACUGGUGAAUGGGGUAAUCUCAUGUCAACACCGCUUCAAUCCAAGGCUUCGAGUUCUGUGACCCAACUCUGCCCUAGGAUCAAUAAGUUAUGUCCUGGUGUUCUAGUUGGGGAUUCCCUUUACUGGUUGCUUUCUGAUAGUAUGGCUUGCCAGGGGCGAUUGCAACUUCUCGGUUAUGCGGGCGGAGGGUGGUGGCGUUGGUUUCAUUUAUCUGUCACGCUUGAGCGCCCAACUAUGGAAGAGGAAGACCGAUUGCGAUGACGUUGCUUCAUGGGUGCUGGGAAAAACUAUUGAACUGGACAAGCUACUUUCCAUGAAUUCGAAGGAGAAGCGACAUUUGCCUAUGAUACUAGCAUUUGCUGAGGACAAUAAUGUUGUGCUCCUGUGGACAAUUAUGGGCUUAUUCACGAUCCAGCUUGAAUCAUUGCAGUUCAUGAAACUUGGCGUAACUAACAACAUAGCUCAAUAUUAUCCACUCGAAAGUGUCUAUGCUGCAGGUGCAGUCAUGGCCAUUCGUCAUGGAAAUGAUGGAACCGAGUAGAUGGAUGUGCUAUAGUGAUGUACUGAUUGAGCAGGUAUCUAGAGUUACAUUGUGGUGGCCGAGAUGGUGAAAUGGCUACUUGGGUUCCAUUUCUUCGUCCACUCAACCUGAAAACUGACCCUCUAUGUAGGAUACAUUGGUGAACUGUGAAGUUGACCAUGCUGGAAUUAAUCGCAUGAUUUGCUAUCUCAGUCUAUUGUCCCAUUUCUGUACACUACUUGUCAACCGGCAUGAAGCCAUAAAGGCGUUCGAUGAAUCAGUGCGUUGUGGUUCAUUUGCUUUAUUGUCGCACGUUAAUGCAAGCCCGUGUAUCGGUUGUUCUUGCUUUUACUC